rnacentral:rRNA from 1 species
GAACUUAAGCAUAUCAAUAAGCGGAAGAAAAGAAACUAACAAGGAUUCCCUCAGUAACUGCGAGUGAAGUGGGAAAAGCUCAAAUUUGAAAUCUGGCAGCUCUUUCAGGUUGUCCGAGUUGUAAUCUAGAGAAGCGUUACCUGUGUUGGACCGUGUAAAAGUCUUCUGGAAUGGAGCAUCAUAGAGGGUGGGAAUCCCGUCUUUGACAUGGACUACCAGCAUGCCAAGGUGCACUCUCAAAGAGUCGAGUUGUUUGGGAAUGCAGCUCAAAAUGGGUGGUAAAUGCCAUCUAAAGCUAAAUAUUGGCGAGAGACCGAUAGCGAACAAGUACCGUGAGGGAAAGAUGAAAAGAACUUUGGAAAGAGAGUUAAACAGUACGUGAAAUUGCUGAAAGGGAAACGCUUAAAGUCAGUCGCAUUAGCUGGAAAUCAGGCUUGCUUUUGCAAGGUGCACUUUCUAGUUGAUGGGUCAGCAUCAAUUUUAAUCGUUGGAUAAAGUCAUUGGGAAUGUAGCAUCUUUGGAUGUGUUAUAGCCCAGUGUUGAAUACAGCGGUCAGGAUUGAGGAAUUCAGCAUGCCUCUAGGGGCCAGGUUUCGACCAUGUUCAUGCUUAGGAUGCUGGCAUAAUGGCUUUAAUCGACCCGUCUUGAAACACGGACCAAGGAGUCUAACAUGCCUGCGAGUGUUUGGGUGAAAAACCCAUACGCACAAUGAAAGUGAAAGUUGAGAUCCUUAGGGAGCAUUGACGCCCGGACCAGACCUUCUGUGACGGAUCCGCGGUAGAGCAUGUAUGUUGGGACCCGAAA